rnacentral:rRNA from 1 species
UACAGAGGGUGCAAGCGUUAAUCGGAAUUACUGGGCGUAAAGCGUGCGUAGACGGUUAUUUAAGUCAGGUGUGAAAGCCCCGGGCUCAACCUGGGAAUUGCAUUUGAGACUGCGUAGCUAGGGUGCGGAAGAGGGAAGCGGAAUUUCCGGUGUAGCGGUGAAAUGCGUAGAUAUCGGAAGGAACACCAGUGGCGAAAGCGGCUUCCUGGUCCAGCACCGACGUCAGGCACGAAAGCGUGGGGAGC